rnacentral:rRNA from 1 species
AUUGAACGCUGGCGGCAGGCCUAACACAUGCAAGUCGAGCGGAGCGGCGGACGGGUGCGUAAGGCCUAUGAAUGUGCCUGGUAGUGAGGGAUAACGUACGGAAACGGACGCUAAUACUGAAUACUAUCAGAUGAGCCUAGGUGGGAUUAGCUAGUUGGUGGGGUAAAGGCCCACCCAGGCGCCGAUCCGUAACUGGUCUGAGAGGAUGAUCAGUCACACUGGAACUGAGACACGGUCCAGACUCCUACGGGAGGCAGCAGUGGGGAAUAUUGCACAAUGGGCGAAAGCCUGAUCCAGCCAUGCCGCGUGUGUGAAGAAGGCCUUCGGGUUGUAAAGCACUUUAAGUUGGGAGGCGUUACCCACAGAAUAAGCACCGGCUAACUCCGUGCCAGCAGCCGCGGUAAUUC